UGCAAGUUUCAACAAACUGGUGAGACCACUGAUCACCAUGAUGGAGAAACACACACAGAGUAGUGCAAAAUAUUUCAGAUAAAUUCCCAAAUGCCAGGGUCUUGCCCUAAGUCUCAGCUCCUCAUCACUCUCAUCUGAGCCUCCAUGCAAGGGGAGGAAAUUUAAGGUGAUGGAGGAUUCCACAACACUGUAUGGAGAAGAAGACAAAAAAGUAGAAGAAGAAUUCAAAAUUGUGCAUGUGUGCACAAACACCUACCUAUAAACUACAUUUUUACAAGUAGCUUUGAAAAACAAGCCAGAAA